GAUGAAGAACGAAGCGAAAUGCGAUAAUUAAUGUGAAUUGCAGAAUUUAGUGAAUCAUCGAAUCUUUGAACGCACAUUGCGCCCCUUGGUAUUCCGGGGGGCAUGCCUGUUCGAGCGUCAUUUCAACCCUCAAGCUCUGCUUGGUCUUGGGCCGCGCCGGCGACGGCGGGCCUCAAAAACAGUGGCGGCGCCAUCUGGUUCCUCAGCGUAGUAAUUCUUCUCGCUGUUGGGCCCGGGUGGCCGCUUGCCAGCAACCCCAAAUUUUCUAUGGUUGACCUCGGAUCAGGUAGGGAUACCCGCUGAACUUAAGCAUAUCAAUAAGCGGAGGA
rnacentral:misc_RNA from 1 species